AACCGGAGCGCUAGCUUCGGUGGAGGCGCUGGUGGGAUACCGCCCUGACUGUAUUGAAAUUCUAACCUACGGGUCUUAUCGACCCGGGAGACAGUGUCAGGUGGGCAGUUUGACUGGGGCGGUCGCCGUCCUAAAGUGUAAGGAGGCGCCCAAAGGUUCCCUCAGAAUGGUUGGAAAUCAUUCGUAGAGAGCAAAGGCAUAAGGGAGCUUGACUGCGAGACCUACAAGUCGAGCAGGGACGAAAGUCGGGCUUAGUGAUCCGGUGGUUCCGCAUGGAAGGGCCAUCGCUCAACGGAUAAAAGCUACCCCGGGGAUAACAGGCUUAUCUCCCCCAAGAGUCCACAUCGACGGGGAGGUUUGGCACCUCGAUGUCGGCUCAUCGCAUCCUGGGGCUGUAGUCGGUCCCAAGGGUUGGGCUGUUCGCCCAUUAAAGCGGUACGCGAGCUGGGUUCAGAACGUCGUGAGACAGUUCGGUCCCUAGCCGUCGUGGGCGUAGGAAAUUUGAGAGGAGCUGUCCUUAGUACGAGAGGACCGGGAUGGACGCACCGCUGGUGUACCAGUUGUUCUGCCAAGGGCAUAGCUGGGUAGCUAUGUGCGGAAGGGAUAAGUGCUGAAAGCAUCUAAGCAUGAAGCCCCCCUCAAGAUGAGAUUUCCCAUAGCGUAAGCUAGUAAGAUCCCUGAAAGGAUGAUCAGGUUGAUAGGUUCGAGGUGGAAGCAUGUGACAUGUGGAGCUGACGAAAUACUAAUAGAUCGAGGACUUAACCAUA
rnacentral:rRNA from 1 species